UCAUUGGAAAGAUUGGACAGGUGAGUGGCAUCCUGUAAGUCCCCCUCCCCAACAGUCCGCGCAGCUGCUUGGAGGGGGUAUCGUGAACUCUCGUGAUGGUAGUUGCGGGUUCUGGCAAGCUAGGGUAAAGGAUUUUUUGGAUAAAUGGAUAAGGAAGAACUGGGACCCAUACCAGGUGCAGGGGUCAACCUGGGAUGAGAUGAAAAAGGAAAAGGAGGCAGUAUUAGGGCACCCAGAGGGAUGGGGGGUGGCUGAGGAGCCCACCCUCCUUGGUAU